GAGGAAAGCACUGGUCAGAUAUAUGUACUGGAUGCAUCUAGUGUUGGAGACGGUCUGUUCACCUUUCAGGUUAAACCCACCGAUAAACAAGGACUGCUCAUGACUACAACAGUACAGGCGCAAAAUGAAAAAUCACAAAGAUGGCUUAAAUAUGAUCAAUGGUGGUCUUGAAAGGACAUCCAGUGUUGACAUACGUAAUGACUUGAACACCAACCCAGAAUCCAG